UACGUAGGUGGCAAGCGUUGUCCGGAUUUACUGGGCGUAAAGGGCGUGCAGGCGGUUUGUUAAGUGCAGAGUGAAAGCUCCCGGCUCAACUGGGAGAGGUCUUUGCAUACUGGCAAACUCGGGGGAGGCAGAGGAAAGUGGAAUUCCCGGUGUAGUGGUGAUAUGCGUAGAUAUCGGGAGGAACACCUGUGGCGAAGGCGGCUUUCUGGGCCUUACCUGACGCUGAGACGCGAAAGCGUGGGGAGCGAACCGG
rnacentral:rRNA from 1 species